UCUUCCGCACUAUGUUGAAUGUAGUUUCACUUUACAUGAUUUUGAUUUUGAGUGAUUCUGCUUAGGUUGGUCAACUGGCGGCGAGGGCCUUCUAUGAUUAGUUGAUAACCUAACAAGUGAGGGAGAUAACCGAGCCAAAAUGCGUCGAAGUAACGAUAUUUUCGCUUGUGAAGACCAGCUUUCGGUCCCUUUGUUGAAAGUAUCACAGCAGAAAGCGAGAUUUGUAAUUAUUAAACAAACUAAACAGGUAAGAAUGAAAGAUUUUGUGAAUUUGAUGGGAAGAAAAGCCCUAGAAACAUAAAAAUUCGUCAUGGAAGCCGGUAAUGAGAGCCUCGCCAGUUGAUUGACAAAGGACAUCAAAUUACACACAAGACAGAUCUAUUGAUCAAGCUCCUGAGAGUGAGAGGAAGCACAAUAAUAACUUCUCCGAAGUCGAACAAGUUGCAGGGUGAAGUAUCAAGUCUUUACAUACAACAAGAGAUUCCAAAACGUGUAGUGCUGCUGUAGCUGCUACCACUAGUGGUCAACAGGCAGCCAAAGAGGGAUAAGAGAACGUAAGGUGCUCAAAGAAGAAGGUCAAGCAGCACAGGGAUUCUUACUGUUAUCUAGAUUAUGAACAGCUAGGUUACAUCACAAGUCCACCGGGGCCCUCCAUGAAUUUGCCAGAGUGCUCAAGCUUGAGAUCUCAGCCUUGGUUCUGUGUGUUCCUGGUAAUGCCCAUGUGAACUUUAAACUGGUUUUUGCUGAUUUAAGUUUGUCAACACACAAAUUCUAACUGAUUCUAUAACACCAUCCGUAGCCACUGUUGUCCAUGACAAUUAAUUGCAGGUGGUGACCUGACUGCUUUAGUUGUAUCUGAUUCAAACAUGAAACAGGAUCUAGUAAUGCGUUCAUACUAUCAAGCGCAGCACUACAUUUUAAAUACUACUGUAAAACAUCUCACAUCCUGUUGUUUCACCUUAUCUAUAUCAUGUGGCUCGUGAAAGAUUAUACCUAGGCCCAUGUGGAAUGAAAAAUAUUACAUUUGUACCACAGGAAUUUGUGGUUUGAGUUGUUGAAAACUUGUAGCCAAUCAACCAGGGGAAAAGUAAGACUCUUGGAAAGGUCAUGCUGCACCAUGCAUGAGAAUGUUUUGGUGUGAUUUGAAUGAUUAUGUUUGUACCUCUGGUUUUUGUGGGAUAAA